AGUCGAACGGCAGCACGGGAGCAAUCCUGGUGGCGAGUGGCGAACGGGUGAGUAAUAUAUCGGAACGUGCCCAAUCGUGGGGGAUAACGCAGCGAAAGCUGUGCUAAUACCGCAUACGAUCUACGGAUGAAAGCGGGGGACUCAGCAAUGGGCCUCGCGCGAAUGGAGCGGCCGAUAUCAGAUUAGCUAGUUGGUGGGGUAAAGGCUCACCAAGGCGACGAUCUGUAGCUGGUCUGAGAGGACGACCAGCCACACUGGAACUGAGACACGGUCCAGACUCCUACGGGAGGCAGCAGUGGGGAAUUUUGGACAAUGGGCGCAAGCCUGAUCCAGCAAUGCCGCGUGCAGGAUGAAGGCCUUCGGGUUGUAAACUGCUUUUGUACGGAACGAAAAGACUCCUUCUAAUAAAGGGGGUUCAUGACGGU
rnacentral:rRNA from 1 species